rnacentral:tRNA from 1 species
CCUUCGAUAGCUCAGCUGGGAGAGUGGAGGACUGUAGAUCCUUAGGUCGCUGGUUCGAUUCCGGCUCGAAGGA